GAAAUGCGAUAAGUAGUGUGAAUUGCAGAAUUCAGUGAAUCAUCGAAUCUUUGAACGCACAUUGCGCCCUUUGGUAUUCCUUAGGGCAUGCCUGUUCGAGCGUCAUCUAAACCUUCAAGCCCUGCUUGGUGUUGGGUGCCUGUUCCGCCUCCGCGCGCGGACUCACCUCAAAUCCAUUGGCGGCCCCCGCGUCGGCCACGAGCGCAGCAGAAACGCGAACUCGUGAGCCCGUCCGGGCGGCUCCCAGAAGCUACACCCACCCAGUUUGACCUCGGAUCAGGUAGGGAUACCCGCUGAACUUAAGC
rnacentral:misc_RNA from 1 species